CAGCCAUGCCGCGUGCAGGAUGAAGGCUUCGGGUUGUAACUGCUUUUGUACGGAACGAAAAGACUCCUUCUAAUAAAGGGGGUUCAUGACGGUACCGUAAGAAUAAGCACCGGCUAACUACGUGCCAGCAGCCGCGGUAAUACGUAGGGUGCAAGCGUUAAUCGGAAUUACUGGGCGUAAAGCGUGCGCAGGCGGUUAUAUAAGACAGAUGUGAAAUCCCCGGGCUCAACCUGGGAACUGCAUUUGUGACUGUAUAGCUAGAGUACGGCAGAGGGGGAUGGAAUUCCGCGUGUAGCAGUGAAAUGCGUAGAUAUGCGGAGGAACACCGAUGGCGAAGGCAAUCCCCUGGGCCUGUACUGACGCUCAUGCACGAAAGCGUGGGGAGCAAACAGGAUUAGAUACCCUGGUAGUCCACGCCCUAAACGAUGUCACUGGUUGNUGGGAAUUCCUUUCUCANUAAC
rnacentral:rRNA from 1 species